rnacentral:rRNA from 1 species
UGGGGAAUUUUGGACAAUGGGCGAAGCCUGAUCCAGCAAUGCCGCGUGUGUGAAGAAGGCCUUCGGGUUGUAAAGCACUUUUGUCCGGAAAGAAAUCCUUGGCUCUAAUACAGUCGGGGGAUGACGGUACCGGAAGAAUAAGCACCGGCUAACUACGUGCCAGCAGCCGCGGUAAUACGUAGGGUGCAAGCGUUAAUCGGAAUUACUGGGCGUAAGCGUGCGCAGGCGGUUUGCUAAGACCGAUGUGAAAUCCCCGGGCUCAACCUGGGAACUGCAUUGGUGACUGGCAGGCUAGAGUAUGGCAGAGGGGGGUAGAAUUCCACGUGGUAGCAGUGAAAUGCGUAGAGAUGUGGAGAAUACCGAUGGCGAAGGCAGCCCCCUGGGCCAAUACUGACGCUCAUGCACGAAAGCGUGGGGAGCAAACAGGAUUAGAUACCCUGGUAGUCCACGCCCUAAAACGAUGUCAACUAGUUGUUGGGGAUUCAUUUCCUAGUAACGUAGCUAACGCGUGAAGUUGACCGCCUGGGGAGUAC